rnacentral:lncRNA from 1 species
GGCACGUUGGCGGCUUGGCGGUUUGGCAGCUUGGCGGCUCGGCGGCUUGAUGGCUCGGUGGUCUGGCUGCUUGGAAGUGUUGUCCUCGGCUGCAAGGGUGGGCAUUAAAUGGGUUGGAGAAGAGGAUGGUAUCAAAUGGUAUCAUUCGUACACAACACAUCAGUAUCUCUACAUCUUCAUGUAGCCAUAUGCAUCCAGGCAUUCGAGGCCCGCAGGCGCAUGCUGCGUCGGCUUCGAGGCCACGAGGCGCGCACGACGUCGGUUUCGAGGCCACCAUCGUCACCCAUGUAUGGACGUUGCCAUGCAUGUGAAUGGGCUGCAUGUGGAUAUACGUGAUAGACAUAUGGGGUUACCUGUCUUGCCUAUAGAGGUGAGUUAAGAGGGGGGCCGGGAAGAGGAGCUGGACCACCAAUAAGGGCGUGAAAAGGGAGAGUCCUUGGUGCAGGGCGUGAGACGGGAGAGCCCCAACACUUGCGUACUAACACCCGAGGGUGAUCAGCCCGACGGCUAGGAGAGCGUGAGAGGUGCGUACUCCUCGUAGGGCAUGGGACGCUCCCGGUCCACCCCACGGGGGCUUCAGUGGGUUCAAAUCCCGCAUUGAUCGAGGUAUGUGAGUUCGUACUGCCUCUGCCAUGCUGCCUGGGUCGAAGCUUCUUCCUUGCUGACUUCACACAAUCGCCCUGCGCAAACGUCUUGACCUUCUGGACUAAUUGGGCUAUCUGGAUCCCUAAGCUUGCUAACCUGGGCGGUUAUCAUCAGGAAUUCGAGGUAGGAAAAUAACGACACUCGGGUGUACUGCUGUCGCGUCAUUGUAUGGCCUUGGCGUUUAGGUGCGGCUUAACAACCGUCACAGGUGACGUUGCGUGUGAUGCGUUGCAUCACACGUUUACGAUUAUGCAUAUCGCAUUUCACAUUUACCUUCAACCUGUUCUGUGUAUGUGUCUACGUUGCAGGAUCGUGGAAGUGCAUACCCCGUACCUGUAAAAACCGCCUAAUACGCAUCGAGGGCAGAAGAGCUCCCUUCCUAAUCGCCUGUACGCACCAUCCCACCACUCCAGACACAGCAAGUGAUAAAGCUAACGACCAAAGGGAACGGUAGAGUUGCGACGGGACCACAUACGUUCCAGCAUCUUCGCCAGACGUUCAGGAUUCCACUUCAUAUAACGCCCUUCAUAUGCGCGAAGCGUGGGAAAUCCGUUUCAGACCUUCCAGCGGAUCAGUCCAGCGGAUCAGUCCAGCGAGAGGUGCUCCUCAGGAACUUUUUGCUGGUGAAGGCGAUUGGUUCUCCGUUCUUCAGUAGGGCUGCACCCGUACCGUGCAAGGACGCGUGAAACAGAGGUCACUUAGAACGUGAAAGGUCAUGUCCGGGUACCGGGUUAGCAGUACAUCGUCGGCCAACGCGUUUUUCACCAUCUCAAAUGCCUGUACCCGUUUAGGUGUCCAGUCUUCCGUCCGGAACGUGAUCAUGUAACAUAUCUCUGUGGGGAGCCGAAAGUGUGAAGCGUACGCUUUAACGAGGUUUCGGAAACAGCUCGUAAGCCCCAAGAACUGCCGUAACUCGGAUGUAUUCUUUGGCAACGGCCACUCACGGACAGUCUUCGCCUUCUUAGGAUCCAUGCGAACUCCGUCGGCACUAACGAUGUGACCGAG